AAGAAGCCAGUUACCCGCAACUAGACGGAAAGACCCCAUGGAGCUUUACUGUAGCUUAAUACUGGAAUUCGGUAAAUCAUGUACAGGAUAGGUGGGAGGCUUGGAAGCCUGGGCGUCAGCUCAGGUGGAGCCAUCCUUGGGAUACCACCCUUGAUUUGCUGGGUUUCUAACCUGCGGCCGUGAAUCCGGUCGGGGGACACUGUUAGGUGGGCAGUUUG
rnacentral:rRNA from 1 species